AACGAACGCUGGCGGCAGGCUUAACACAUGCAAGUCGAGCGCCCUUUUCGGAGGGAGCGGCAGACGGGUGAGUAACGCGUGGGAAUCUACCUUUUGCUACGGAAUAACUCAGGGAAACUUGUGCUAAUACCGUAUGUGUCCUUCGGGAGAAAGAUUUAUCGGCAAGAGAUGAGCCCGCGUUGGAUUAGCUAGUUGGUGGGGUAAAGGCCUACCAAGGCGACGAUCCAUAGCUGGUCUGAGAGGAUGAUCAGCCACACUGGGACUGAGACACGGCCCAGACUCCUACGGGAGGCAGCAGUGGGGAAUAUUGGACAAUGGGCGCAAGCCUGAUCCAGCCAUGCCGCGGUUGUGAUGACUUUCUUAGGAUUGUAAAGCUCUUUCACCGGUGAAGAUAAUGACGGUAACCGGAGAAGAAGCCCCGGCUAACUUCGUGCCAGCCGCCGCCGUAACAC
rnacentral:rRNA from 1 species